rnacentral:rRNA from 1 species
GACGAACGCUGGCGGCGUGCCUAAUACAUGCAAGUCGAACGCAGUGGGGACGGGUGAGUAACACGUGGGUAACCUCCCAUCAGAGGGGAUAACACUUGGAAACAGGUGCUAAACCGAUACGGACGGCUGGCCCCGCGGUCCAUUAGCUAGUUGGGGAGGGAACGGCUCACCAAGGCAACGAUGCAUAGCCGGCCUGCGAGUGUGAGCGGCCACACUGGGACUGAGACACUGCCCAGACUCCUACGUGAGGCAGCAGUAGGGAAUCUUAGGCAAUGGACGAAAGUCUGACCGAGCAACGCCGCGUGAGUGAAGAAGGGUUUCGGAUCGUAAAACUCUGUUGUUAGAGAAGCGGUAUCUAACCAGAAAGCCACGGCUAACUACGUGCCAGCAGCCGCGGUAAUAC